rnacentral:rRNA from 1 species
CCUACGGGUGGCAGCAGUGGGGGAUAUUGCACAAUGGGGGAAACCCUGAUGCAGCGACGCCGCGUGAGUGAAGAAGCGUUUCGGUGUGUAAAGCUCUGUCAGCAGGGGAGAAAAUGACAGUACCUGACGAAGAAGCCCCGGCUAACUACGUGCCAGCAGCCGCGGUAAUACGUAGGGGGCAAGCGUUAUCCGGAUGUACUGGGUGUAAAGGGGGCGCAGACGGUGAUGUAAGUCAGGAGUGAAAGCCCGGGGCCCAACCCCGGGACUGCGUUGGAAACUGUGUGGCUGGAGUACAGGAGGGGCAGGCGGAAUUCCUGGUGUAGCGGUGAAAUGCGUAGAUAUCAGGAGGAACACCGGUGGCGAAGGCGGCCUGCUGGACUGAAACUGACGUUGAGGCCCGAAAGCGUGGGGAGCAAACAGGAUUAGAUACCCUGGUAGUC